GGCGGUUCUUCGGUCUGCCUUUGAGCGAGAAGAUGAAGCUGCCGAGGAACGAGAAGCACUGAGGCUACACUCCUCUGUUCGAUCAAGUCCUUGACCCUGCAAAUCAGAUAAACGGUGGUGGUUGAGUCGCAUUUCCUAGAAAAGGAAGAUCAAUUUGUUAUUAUUCCUGUUUUCGGUUGUAUUCUUGGAGAGAACUGCCACUGAAUUGGGAGUUUGAAUUGCUAACACACGACCAUGAACUCAAGAGAUUAUAAGGAGGGAUACUACAUACAAGUGGAAGUACCAGAGGACGAUCCUCGUGUGUAGAAGGCUCAUUUUGGACCGAACCC